AAAACAACAAGCCCCUAUUAAUAACCCCACAUAAAACAAACAAACCAGACCAAACCAUUUUUCCCCCUCAGUACGGGAGACGGAACAGGACAAUCGGCGCUAUAGAGACAGUACCGCAAGGGAA
rnacentral:rRNA from 1 species